UGGGGGAUAGUGCAAUGGUAGCACAACUGGCUCUGGACCAGUUAGUCUUGGUUCGAAUCCAAGUCCCCCAGCCA
rnacentral:tRNA from 1 species